GACGAACUGUGCAAACGUUAUUCGGAAUCACUGGGCUUGAAGAGUGCGUAGGCGGUUUCGUAAGUAGGGUGUGAAAGCCCUCGGCUCAACCGGGGAAUUGCGUCCUAAACUGCGAGGCUAGAGUGAGGUAGGGGUGUGUGGAACUUCCAGUGGAGCGGUGAAAUGUGUUGAUAUUGGAAGGAACGCCGGUGGCGAAAGCGACACACUGGGCCUUGUCUGACGCUGAGGCACGAAAGCCAGGGGAGCAAAC
rnacentral:rRNA from 1 species